rnacentral:rRNA from 1 species
AGUGAACGCUGGCGGUAGGCCUAACACAUGCAAGUCGAACGGCAGCACAGUAAGAGCUUGCUCUUACGGGUGGCGAGUGGCGGACGGGUGAGGAAUACAUCGGAAUCUACUUUUUCGUGGGGGAUAACGUAGGGAAACUUACGCUAAUACCGCAUACGACCUACGGGAGAAAGCAGGGGAUCUUCGGACCUUGCGCGAUUGAAUGAGCCGAUGUCGGAUUAGCUAGUUGGCGGGGUAAAGGCCCACCAAGGCGACGAUCCGUAGCUGGUCUGAGAGGAUGAUCAGCCACACUGGAACGGAGACACGGUCCAGACUCCUACGGGAGGCAGCAGUGGGGAAUAUUGGACAAUGGGCGCAAGCCUGAUCCAGCCAUACCGCGUGGGUGAAGAAGGCCUUCGGGUUGUAAAGCCCUUUUGUUGGGAAAGAAAAGCAGCAGGUUAAUACCCCGCUGUUCUGACGGUACCCAAAGAAUAAGCACCGGCUAACUUCGUG